UAGAGUAGAUAAAAACCUAGAAGAAAGCAUUGAUAGCUAUUGGUGAGUGCUUAUAUACUGAGAGGGAGGAGUCAAAGAUAAUUCCAAGACUUUUGGUGUAUUUGAACAAAGAGAACAGUGGUAUCAUUAGUAGAAACAGGGAUUCUGUGAAGAACUUCUUUGUGGUGCUGGUGGGAGGGUAGUGAUAUAGUUAUUUGAAUUUUAGACAUAUCAUGCUGGAAGGGUUUCUGGAUUAGAAGAGAUUUGGGAUUAGAGGAGUACAUUUGGGUAUCAUUUACACAUCAGUGAUACUUUAAGUCCCUCCCCUGAAACGUUCUCUCUCUCACCAUUUAUCUGGUGCACACCUACUGAUUAUUCCCAUGUUUCCUCGUGAAAUUUAUCUUAUAUCUAAGACAAAACCUGAUCCUCUCAUGUUUUUAAGCAGCUUUUUAUAGGGAGCAAUGGUUUCUACCGCCAUUGACUAGAGGCAAGUGAGACUAGUUAGGUGCCUAUUACUCAUACCCAGUUAUGGACUGAGAUGUAAAUUAAGGCAAAGGCAAUGAGGCUGAGGAAUGAGAAUGAAGUGGGACGAUAUAGGAGAUGGAAGAGGUUGGAUUUUGGGGGGAUGAGGGAGUAA
rnacentral:lncRNA from 1 species